GAUGAACGCUAGCUACAGGCUUAACACAUGCAUGUCGAGGGGUAACGAGGAGAGAGCUUGCUUUUUCCGUCGACGACCGGCGCACGGGUGAGUAACGCGUAUCCAACCUACCUUCAGCUAAGGAACAGCCCGUCGAAAGGCGGAUUAAUACCUUAUGUUGUUUCAUGAUGCCAUCAGAAAGAAACGAAAGAUUUAUCGGCGGAGGAUGGGGAUGCGUCUGAUUAGAUUGUUGGCGGGGCAACGGCCCACCAAGUCAUCGAUCAGGAGGGGUUCUGAGAGGAAGGUCCCCCACAUUGGAACUGAGACACGGUCCAAACUCCUACGGGAGGCAGCAGUGAGGAAUAUUGGUCAAUGGGCGAGAGCCUGAACCAGCCAAGUAGCGUGCAGGAUGACGGCCCUAUGGGUUGUAAACUGCUUUUACACGGGGAUAAAGUGGUCGACGUGUCGUCCAUUGCAGGUACCGUGCGAAUAAGGACCGGCUAAUUCCGUGCCAGCCGCCGCAGUAA
rnacentral:rRNA from 1 species